rnacentral:sRNA from 13 species
GAUAUCCAUUAUACCGUUUAUCUGUAUGACUCAGUUGGCCAGUUGUCAAAAUCAGAAGACCAAACACGGAUUCGAAUUAGGCACACGUUUGGAAAUCUGGACAACAUACCUUAAACCUCUACCUCCAGCUCUCGACUUGCAUGAAUUACGCAGAGCUCUAAGCUAAUCUUCUCGACGAUGCUUCCUGCGCUGCAGUGACGCUGGCCUGACAAUGGGGAGCAACGGAAGGAAAGCUAUUCAGAAGGAUUCUUUAAUACGAGUCUGUAUAUUUUUCAGCACAGAGUCCUAUCAAUGGCCAGCUACAACAAUGGUAACAACGAUGAUUGCCCAGUGUGUGGUCAGGCGCCAAGACGAAUCCGUUCCAGCACACCCACUUUGAGAUUUCAGAGAAAAAGUGUGUUUAUUUAGAAUAUGAAAAACCGAAAGUAAUCGAUUUAAUAAACUGUCAUCAGCAUGCGACCCACCGGGUAAUAUUGUAUUACCGCUUGUCUGGUCCUCGGUCAGGUCAUCUCAAGUCACGAUAAUUGCACAUGUAUUUCAAAACGAGCAAGUCGAACAGCUAGACAAUCUGAUACCCAUUACUCUGAAAAUAAAUUGAUCUCUGCUUGGAAAUACCGA